rnacentral:misc_RNA from 1 species
CUGGCAAUUUACUUCCUAGGCAUAAAACAACUAGGCGUAGCAACGAUAAUUUCAUAUUUCAAUUUCCUGUCAACAGAUAUUUCCAUUUCAGAUAAUAUCCAACUCCAUUAAUGACCUCAUACAAGCCACCAUGUACAGAUGCAAGAAGUUGGAAUAGCAAAAUUGCAGGAGGAAUGUGAUGAUAUACUUCCAAACAAAGAAAGUUACAAACACGCGAUGUGAAUAAAACUGACAAGUUAAUGAACCCACAUCAACGGGAUUGUGUUUCAGGGGAAAAUGGGCGCUCAAAGAAGGAAUGCAGCAAAAACAAUGCUACCAAAAGUGUGCAGCCGCAAGAGGUCAACUUGAUUAUAAAAAUGAAAAAGAUGCCCAAUAGGGAUAUGCCUUGGAUUUCAUUUCAACCGCAUUAGCUAAGUGCUUAUCUUCGAACAGGGUAAUUUCCGCCUUGAGCUGGUGCCUCAUACCCACUUCCAGCAUGAUCUGGUGGCGUUCCAGACCCGUAAGGCACAUUGCUUGCAGGUGCCAUUUGUCCAUGUGGUCCAGCUAGUACUCUUGAAGCAGCAUCAUAUCCAGCACCCCUGGAUGCAUCAUAAUGAGGUCCUCGUUGCACACCAUAUGCCGGUCCUCUCUGGACGUCAAAGCCAGUUAUUCUCUGUGCAUCAUAACCAGGUAAUCUCUGUGCAUCAUAGGUAGGUCCUCUUUGUAUAUCAUAUCCGGAUCCUCUAGGUUCAUAAUUGUAUCCCCUCUGUACAUCAUAUCCAGCUCCUCUUGGUACAUCAUAUCCAGCUCCUCGGGAUGUGUCAUAGCCUGGUCCUUUUGAUCCCUCAUAACCAGGGGCUCUGGGUGCAUCAUAAACAGAUUUUGGAGCCGCAGAGCCAGAUUGAGCUCCAGCAUGAGUAGGAGUCCCAGCACCAGCAUUAGCAACGGUACUAGCAUUGGCAGCAUAAGUAGCACCAGCAUUAGCAACAGUACUAGCAUUGGCAGCACCAGCACCAGAGUUACCAGGAAUGGCAGCAUGCCCCUGGCCUUGGGGAACACCAUAGCUAUCUUCAUACAUAUUUUGUCCGACAGGCCGACCAGAAGCCUCCUUCUCAUUGUUCCCAGAGGCACCACCAUAAGGCCCACCAGCAACAGUUCUUAUAUCAACAUUUGCUCUGUUAGUAAGUUCUAAACGAAGCUUUUCCACUUCCCUAGCCAUUGUAACAUAGUUUUUCUCCAUGGCCUGAAGUGACUCCAGGUGGUCACUGAAUAAUUUCUUUUCAUAGUCAUAUGAAACCCUGCAUCGCUGAUAUUCCUGCCUGAGACUUUCAAGUUCCGACAUCAGAACAGGAAUCUGCUGCACAUCUGCAUGGGCCCUAUGAAGAUCCUGAGUCAACUGAUGUACUUUAGACAUAAGCUCCCGCCUUGCUACAACCAAGUUCUCAGCCUCUGCUCGUGCCUGCUGCAACUCCAACCUAACAGGCUCUGCAGCCUUCAACUCUGUUUCCAUCUUGGCAAUUUUAUCCAUAAGGCCCCUCAUUUGUUGUUCUCUUUCAGACUUGAUAGCACCAGUGUGAGCAUGCAACAUCUGCAACUCAUGCUGCGCAGCAGCAAGUUCCUGUCUCAAGUUUCCAUGUGUGGCAGCCAGCCUCUGGUUCUCUGUUGCAAGUCUCUGCAUCUCCACAUGUUGUGCAGCAAGCUUUUGUUCCAUAACUUCUGGGGGUGGCAAUAUGUCAAAUGGAGGAAUGGGGCCAAGCGGAGGGCGUACACCAGGAACAAAUGGAUCAGGGUGCACUAUACCCGGACCAGGAAGAGGACGCCUCAGAUGAGGAGGAGGAAUUCGACCUUUACUUCCCAUUUAAAAUAGAUAAUUUUGAUCUGAACGGAAAUGCUAUGGCGGAGCCUUUGACGGUGAAACAGCUCGAGCGAUUUUUGGUAAGCGAGGCAAACUCUCUGGCCAGAGCACUAAUUGAAGGUGGAAAAAAU